rnacentral:misc_RNA from 1 species
AACGCACGAGACCUGCGGACCUGCGGAAGGAUCAUUAGUGAACGCCCUCACGGGCUUAUAACUAUUCCAAACCUCUGUGAACCGUGCCCUUCGGGGCUAUUUUACAAACAUGGUGUAAUGAACGUCAUAUAUCGUAACAAAACAAAACUUUUAACAACGGAUCUCU